GCAAGUCGAGCGGAAAGGCUCCUUCGGGGGUACUCGAGCGGCGAACGGGUGAGUAACACGUGAGUAAUCUGCCCUUGGCUUCGGGAUAGCCACCGGAAACGGUGAUUAAUACCGGAUACGACACAUCACUGCAUGGUGCGUGUGUGGAAAGUUUUUUCGGCCAGGGAUGUGCUCGCGGCCUAUCAGCUUGUUGGUGGGGUAAUGGCCUACCAAGGCUUCGACGGGUAGCCGGCCUGAGAGGGUGACCGGCCACACUGGGACUGAGACACGGCCCAGACUCCUACGGGAGGCAGCAGUGGGGAAUAUUGGACAAUGGGCGGAAGCCUGAUCCAGCAACGCCGCGUGAGGGAUGACGGCCUUCGGGUUGUAAACCUCUUUCAGCACAGACGAAGCGCAAGUGACGGUAUGUGCAGAAGAAGGACCGGCCAACUACGUGCCAGCAGCCGCGGUAAUACGUAGGGUCCGAGCGUUGUCCGGAAUUAUUGGGCGUAAAGGGCUCGUAGGCGGUUUGUCGCGUCGGGAGUGAAAACACCGGGCUUAACUCGGUGCUUGCUUUCGAUACGGGCAGACUAGAGGCAUUCAGGGGAGAACGGAAUUCCUGGUGUAGCGGUGAAAUGCGCAGAUAUCAGGAGGACACCGGUGGCGAAGCGGUUCUCUGGGAAUGUCCUGACGCUGAGGAG
rnacentral:rRNA from 1 species